ensembl:lncRNA
UUUUUGGUUAUCAGUAUUCCACAUCACAACAUCAUGCAGUAUACUGGGAAUUAAAGAGCAAAUGCUUUAGUUCCGGGCACCUGUCUGGAAGAGAAGAACUACAUUCCCCAAGAGCCUUUUCGAGUACUGUUAUCAUUCCUCCUCAAGAGAACAGAUAUAAGGGUGCAGGUCAUCUGACUCGGGCUCCCUCUUCUUGUCUCACCAUGUUCCCUGUUGGAUUGGUUUGCUGCUGCUGCUCCUGACUUCAUAUCGUUGCUGCUGUUUUUAAUUUUUUUGGGGUCCCCUGUUUCCCUUCCUGGAGGUGUGGAUUUUGCGAAAUCCCUCUGCUCCACUAGUUGCAGAACCAGGCCAGACCAGCCCUUAAACUGUUGACACCAAGGAGGAAGGAUCUCUAUCUGGAGAUCAUUCCUCUUGGACCCCUUCUGUGAGCCCAGGAUACAGGUGAAGAACAUUUAAUAAUCUCAAGCAUCUGUAAUCCUAGCAGCCUCGGCAGAGAACCAGAAAUUACCAAAUAAAGGUAACUGUGAAGCAACUAGGCAAUGGGAGAGAUAGUAACACUCUGAGUCCUAACAUCAAUGAAUUGCACUUGAAUCAUAAAACUUUGUUAACUUUCUCAUUUAGAUACAAAUUCAUUCAUAUUUCAACCAUUUGUUAUUUUUGGCAACUGAUUUUUUUUUCCUAUGGCCUCAAUUUCCUGCUAAACAUUUUUGCUUUUAUUUGGCUCCUCAGCCCCUCCCUUUACCUCAGAAACUUGAAGUCCUCCUCGAAGAUAAAGUUUUACUCAGAGGUCUUUCUGUCUCAUCAUUCCAUUCAUAAAACCUGACACUUCUCUU